CAAGUCAGAUGUGAAAGCCUUCUGUUCAACGGAAGAAUUGCAUCUGAAACUGCUAAUCUUGAGUAUAGGAGGGGAGAAUGGAACUUCUGGUGGAGCGGUGAAAUGCGUAGAUAUCAGAAGGAACGCCGGCGGCGAAAGCGAUUCUCUGGCCUAUUACUGACACUCAGUGUGCGAAAGCUAGGGGAGCAAACGGGAUUAGAUACCCCGGUAGUCCUAGCCGUAAACGAUGGGCACUAAGUAGAGGGAAUUACCUAUAUUCUCUCUGCCGUAGCUAACGCAUUAAGUGCCCCGCCUGGGGAGUACGGCCGCAAGGCUAAAACUCAAAAGAAUUGACGGGGGCUCGCACAAGCGGUGGAGCAUGUGGCUUAAUUCGAUGCAACGCGAAAAACCUUACCGGGGCUUGACAUGAUAGAAGUAGGAACCUGAAAGGGGGACGAACGGUAUCCAGUCCGUAGCUAUCACAGGUGUUGCAUGGCUGUCGUCAGCUCGUGUCGUGAGACGUUGGGUUAAGUCCCCUAACGAGCGAAACCCUUGUUUUUAGUUACCAGCGGGUUAUGCCGGGUACUCUAGAAAGACUGCCGUCGUCAAGACGGAGGAAGGUGGGGGAUGACGUCAAGUCAUCAUGGCCCUUAUGCCCCGGGGCUGCACACGUGCUACAAUGGUCGGUACAGACGGAAGCGAA
rnacentral:rRNA from 1 species